rnacentral:rRNA from 1 species
GGUCCACCUCCCCCCGUGUUUAUUUUACCUUGUUGCUUCGGCGGGCCCGCCUUAACUGGCCGCCGGGGGGCUCACGCCCCCGGGCCCGCGCCCGCCGAAGACACCCUCGAACUCUGUCUGAAGAUUGAAGUCUGAGUGAAAAUAUAAAUUAUUUAAAACUUUCAACAACGGAUCUCUUGGUUCCGGCAUCGAUGAAGAACGCAGCGAAAUGCGAUACGUAAUGUGAAUUGCAAAUUCAGUGAAUCAUCGAGUCUUUGAACGCACAUUGCGCCCCCUGGUAUUCCGGGGGGCAUGCCUGUCCGAGCGUCAUUGCUGCCCUCAAGCCCGGCUUGUGUGUUGGGCCCCGUCCUCCGAUUUCCGGGGGACGGGCCCGAAAGGCAGCGGCGGCACCGCGUCCGGUCCUCGAGCGUAUGGGGCUUUGUCACCCGCUCUGUAGGCCCGGCCGGCGCUUGCCGAUCAACCCAAAUUUUUAUCCAGGUUGACCUCGGAUCAGGUAGGGAUACCCGCUGAACUUAAGCAU